rnacentral:misc_RNA from 1 species
CUGGUGUGGCGCUGGCUGCUCACUAU